CUCUGUAAAAGAGCUCAGGGAGGGCUGUAAAAGCACUAUGAAGCGGUAUGUAAACCUAAAUGCUAUUGCUAAAGAAAAGACCAAUGGCCAAUGAAAAGUAGUGGACCCAUCCUCUUAUCCUUCUGUGGAUACCCCAAAGCAUGCAAGCCAGGCAUACUUCUUCGUUCAGUUGUAUCAUUAUCAGGAACUUCAACAUACAACGUGGCUAAAGGAUUGAUUCAAAGACUCGGAUACCUCCCAGAGGUAUCGCCAUCAUUGGAUGUCACAGCUCUUUUUACAUCCAUAGAUCCAAAAUCUGUGACAGCGCUGACCUAACCCUAUACACCAAAAUUGAAUUAACCAGAAAUGUGGACCAUGCCAAACUUUACCUAGCCACGUACUUUUAGUUCGGCUGAUACACAUACCAACAGAUCAGAGGAACCCCUGCGGGAUCCCUGCUUCCUGAAUGAAUAGAGACUAUAAUAUCGAUAGCAGCCAUAUACACACAACCCAAAAUAUAGAUCCAGGUACGUAGAUGACACCUUUGUCAUUAUUUAAAAGGGCCAAGUAGGGAACACACAAGGACCCCAUCAGCACCAUCUUCAAAGGAUUAAAAUUCACUAGGGAAUCACACUACCUUUCCUUGGAUAUCUUCAUUCCAGAUGGCAAAUUGGUCAUGGCAAAUUAGAAAUACACUGUCCGUUGUAAAGCCACCACCCCAACCAACAACAGACCGUUAGCAACCACAUGGCGUCACUGCAGCCCACAAUCCAACCAAAGCUCUCCAAAAUAGAAAUAAACCAAAAGACCCAGCAGCACCCCAGAAGAAGAAGAAAAUCCAGGAAUAAUCUACAACAUACAUUGCAAGGCCCAUAACAGCCACUCUGGACAAACAGGCAGAAGAUGAGCAGGUCAAGGUCUGCAAACACCAAUUAGCAGUCAGAAGACAUGAAAACCCCUCACCAUCGAUAAACAUCCAGAUGAACCAGGAUUAACACCCAAGAUUAACAGACCAACCAUCAAGAAGCAAACAAUACCCCAAUCAAGGGACUGGCAAGCUCACAGCCAUCCACCAAGGCCACUCCUACCAACGCUGAUAAGGCAAGCCCCACUCUAGUGUAUGAAAUGGGAAGAAACCCUACUCCCUAGUCGAACUGACGAUAUUACCUAGUUUGGUAAUGAGAUAUCUGCAAGAAAACGACGACGCUCAGAAAGCACCAAGGACUCCGCCGUUCAACCCUGAGCUCUUCUACCAAUACCCGUGGCAGAUUUGAAGUAGCCUUUAACAGGAUGAAAAGGCAACAAGAGUUUGACCCCUUCCUUCAGCAAGAAAACGAGAUCGGAACCAGAUGCAACAGUAUUGGCCUCGGGUGAUCCAAAAUCAUCACAAGCACCAUUACAAGCACCACCGCUUGUGAGCAAGAAGAGAAGAGCAGAACCAGACUCGACUUGCAAGCUGCAAGUUGACCGCUGGUUUUCCCUGGUGAGCCCACAGCAUCAGAUGAAGAAACAGGCAUGGUAUGGAAUCUCAUCUCCUUUUCAUCUUUCAAACUUUGAGCAGUACAUUGAAUUUCGUCUGGGUUUUUAUAUACACCUACCGAUACAUUUUUAGCUGAUGGAAUUCUUUGAGUUUGAGAUCUGUGGAGAUUCUCAAAUCAUCCAGGUUGUUGUUGUCCCAAAGGUGUUUUUUUUUCCCCCAAGACGCAACUAGACUGGAGAAGCUUCUUGGGUGAGAAACGAACAUCUUCUAACAAAAACUGGAAAGCCCAAUUGCCUCUUGAAAACAAAAAAGCAUCUUUUGGACUCUGACUGGAUGGUGGGGAUUGG